rnacentral:rRNA from 1 species
CUGGCGGCGUGCCUAAUACAUGCAAGUCGAACGGUCUUUCUAUGGAAGCUUGCUUCCACUGAGAAGAUAGUGGCGAACGGGUGAGUAACACGUGGGUAACCUGCCCAUAAGAGGGGGAUAACAUCCGGAAACGGGUGCUAAUACCGCAUAGUUUUCUUGAUCGCAUGAUUGAGAAAGGAAAGACGGCCUUUGUGCUGUCGCUUAUGGAUGGACCCGCGGCGUAUUAGUUAGUUGGUGAGGUAACGGCUCACCAAGACGAUGAUACGUAGCCGACCUGAGAGGGUGAUCGGCCACAUUGGGACUGAGACACGGCCCAAACUCCUACGGGAGGCAGCAGUAGGGAAUCUUCCGCAAUGGACGAAAGUCUGACGGAGCAACGCCGCGUGAGUGAAGAAAAGGUUUUCGGAUCGUAAAACUCUGUUGUCAGAGAAGAACAAGUUGGAGAGUAACUGCUCCAGCCUUGACGGUAUCUGACCAGAAAGCCACGGCUAACUACGUGCCAGCCGCCGC